rnacentral:lncRNA from 1 species
GCCUUCCAUUCUGCCUUUCAUCACAGCUUCAUCAAAAAUCCCAUAUACCAUAGUACAGCUCCCCAAUUACCGAUUGUAAUACCAGCUAGUCCCCCACUUAAUCGUAGCUUAGCUGCACUGAGAUGUUGUCAACAUUCUCCACUAACGUGAUUUCGCAAAUGAACAUUUAAAUAAUGGCCCAGACGUGCAUCAUCCGCUGAUAAGGCGCUCUCCGCUGGCAACAGUCCAAAAGCUCUAACAGACUCCACAGAUGGUUGGGCCAUAAGCCUUCGGGGCGGCUUCUUUUGAUACCA